GAUGAACGCUGGCGGCGUGCCUAACACAUGCAAGUCGAACGAAGCUUGACGGAUGAUUUCUUCGGAAUGAAACCAGAUAUGACUUAGUGGCGGACGGGUGAGUAACACGUGAGCAACCUGCCUUUCAGAGGGGGAUAACGGCUGGAAACGGUCGCUAAUACCGCAUGAUGUGUUCGGAUGGCAUCAUCUGAACAUCAAAGAUUUAUCGCUGAAAGAUGGGCUCGCGUCUGAUUAGAUAGUUGGUGGGGUAACGGCCUACCAAGUCUACGAUCAGUAGCCGGACUGAGAGGUUGAACGGCCACAUUGGGACUGAGAUACGGCCCAGACUCCUACGGGAGGCAGCAGUGGGGAAUAUUGCACAAUGGGGGAAACUCUGAUGCAGCAACGCCGCGUGAAGGAUGACGGUUUUCGGAUUGUAAACUUCUUUUCUUAGGGACGAAGAAAGUGACGGUAGCUAAGGAAUAAGCAGCGGCUAACUACGUG
rnacentral:rRNA from 1 species